UAAAAGUUUAAUGGCUUAAUCUUGCUUUACUGUUUGACUUACACGUCUAUCAGUUGCGUAAGCAGGGCAUAUGAUCACAAGAUGCAUAAAGGAAAGGUCUUGGAUUUUUGAAAAAGCUACGCUAGGGAUAACAGGCUAAUUGCGCCAGAGAGUACAAAUUGAGUGCGCAGUUUGGCACCUCGAUGUCGGCUUAGCUCAUCCACAUGAAUGCAGAAAUCAUGAAGGGUACGACUGUUCGUCGAUUAAAGAGCUACACGAGCUGGGUUAAAUACGUCGUGAGACAGUAUGGUUUCUAUCUUCUAGAGGAAAUUAGAGUAAAAUAAGGAUAGCCCCUUCGUACGAAAGGAGUUGGGUAUGGUAACCUCUGGUUUACCUGUUGUUU
rnacentral:rRNA from 1 species